GGUAGAAGACUCGAGAUCUACUCGUGUUUUGCUGAUCCUCCCCGAGCUUGGUUCCGCGGUUGAGAUUAGGUCGGGUCAGAGCUUCUUCUGUGUACAUAGAAGUUGCCGUUUGUUAGCUGAGUAGCAGUGAGGAGGUGGUUAGGAGAGACACGGACAACUAUCUGAAGGAGAACUUCGGAGAUGUGAAGGCGAAGAACUCGUCGGAAGAGGCGCUCCAGAGGUGGAGAAGGGCGUGCUGGUUGGUGAAGAAUCGGAAACGGAGGUUCCGGUUCACGGCCAACCUGUCCAAACGAUCAGAAGCCGAGGAUAUUCGUCGCACGUUUAAGGGAAAUUUUAGGGUUGCUGUCAUAGUUUCACAGGCUGCUCUUCAGUUCUUUCAAGGCCUGAGUGAUUACAAAGUACCUGAAGAUGUCAAGGCUGCAGGAUUUCAAAUUUGUGCAGAAGAAUUAGGAUCCAUUGUUGAGGGCCACGAUCCAAAAAAA